AACAGGAUUAGAUACCCUGGUAGUCCACGCCGUAAACGAUGUCGACUAGCCGUUGGGUGCCUCGAGCACUUAGUGGCGCAGUUAACGCGAUAAGCCGACCGCCUGGGGAGUACGGCCGCAAGGUUAAAACUCAAAUGAAUUGACGGGGGCCCGCACAAGCGGUGGAGCAUGUGGUUUAAUUCGAUGCAACGCGAAGAACCUUACCUACCCUUGACAUCCUCGGAAUCCGCCGGAGACGGCGGAGUGCCUUCGGGAACCGAGUGACAGGUGCUGCAUGGCUGUCGUCAGCUCGUGUUGUGAAAUGUUGGGUUAAGUCCCGUAACGAGCGCAACCCCUGUCCCUAUUUGCCAGCGAUUCGGUCGGGAACUCUAGGGAGACUGCCGGUGACAAACCGGAGGAAGGUGGGGACGACGCCAAGUCAUCAUGGCCCUUACGGGUAGGGCUACACACGUGCUACAAUGGCAGGUACAAAGGGUUGCAAGACGGCGACGUGGAGCUAAUCCCAUAAAGCCUGCCUCAGUCCGGAUCGGAGUCUGCAACUCGACUCCGUGAAGUCGGAAUCGCUAGUAAUCGUGAAUCAGAAUGUCACGGUGAAUACGUUCCCGGGCCUUGUACACACCGCCCGUCACACCAUGGGAGUGGACUGCACCAGAAGUGGUUAGCUUAACCUUCGGGAGAGCGAUCACCACGGUGUGGUUCAUGACUGGGGUGAAGUCGUAACAAGGUAACC
rnacentral:rRNA from 1 species